rnacentral:rRNA from 1 species
UACGGAGGGUGCAAGCGUUAAUCGGAAUUACUGGGCGUAAAGCGCACGCAGGCGGUCUGUCAAGUCGGACGUGAAAUCCCCAGGCUCAACUUGGGAACUGCAUCCGAUACUGGAUGGCUUGAAUUCGGGAGAGGGAUGCAGAAUUCCAGGUGUAGCGGUGAAAUGCGUAGAUAUCUGGAGGAAUACCGGUGGCGAAGGCGGCAUCCUGGACCGACAUUGACGCUGAGGAGCGAAAGCUAGGGGAGCAAACGGG